GGCCAAUACGUCUUCGGAAUGGA
rnacentral:siRNA from 1 species